UCCCUGGUAGCUCAAUUGGCUAGAGCGUGGGACUUUUACUACAAAGCGGAAAAUCCCAAGGUUGGGGGUUCGACCCCCCCCCAGGGAG